rnacentral:lncRNA from 1 species
GUGAAUAGUAAAAGCUCCACUUUGUACGGUGCUACAUUUCAUUGGUAAAUGUCCAAAUGGCACCUCUUCCAUGUCAGAAGCUCUGUGAGACCACAGGCUUCUCGGUGACUGCAUCUCACACUGGCACAGAACAUUGUGUUGUUCUUCCUUGGAGGAUGUCAUGUUCGAUUUAUUUUUAUGAAGAGAAAUUAUUCAAGGGAAAGUCAGAGGUUUUAAGGGAAAUGGAAUUAGGACCCACAUGAGUUAUACAUGUGUAACUGAAUGCCACUGAAUGUUCUUUGGGAGUCUUUGACAAAUUGUCAUGCCAUCGGGAUGUUAAACCCUCCAGCUGCUUUCCUGGAUUUCUAGAGAAUUCCCAGAACCAGAAUAGAUCCCAUCUUGGUUUUCUAAAUCCUCCCACUACAAAUGUUGGCUUCAGAUAAGAAGUCUUCUUUAGCUGAGGGUGUAACAUUAUUAGACAGAAAUUUAUUUAGAACAUUUUUGUGUCUAACCUACCCAGUGCAUUACAUGGAAUUGAAUUCCAUUUCUGCAUGAAUGUUAGAACUCUCUUUACCAAUUAAGUGGUUGAAAAAGGUAGGGGUAAAAACAGCUUACCUUGGGCUGAGUGUGAAUUGUGUCUCCUGAAUGAAAUUCAAAGCAGUGGCUCCUGUUCUCUGUGCUGCCUGCUGCCAGCCCCCCACCUUCCUCUUCCUGGGUGAUGCCUAAACUGCCUGGGGCGCCCUCAUGCCUUCAGCCUUUCCUCUUUUUCCCAUCAUCACAGUGCCUUAGGGGGUCCUUCUGCCAGCCAUUCAUUCCAUAACUCAGCCUCAUUGUUCUUUUUUUUUUUCCCCUUUUUGGCUAUGCCCACAACAAGCAGAAGUUUGUUUCUGGGCUGGGAUCGAAUCAGCAACACAGCAGUGCCCAGAGCCACAGCAGCAACAAUGCUGGAUCCUUAACGCACAGCACCACUAGAGGAACUCUUAAGCCUUGCUGUUCUUAAAAGUCUCAAGCAUUUCCUGAAUGACUAUUAGGUUUAGACACAGAGCUUCCUCAUUUCUUAGAGUUUUCUAUCAAAUACAAAUUGAAAGAAGAGAUUUUUCUUUAUGAAAUUUUUUCAGUAAACACAGAGGAAUGGUUUGGCGAUAGCUUAGGCAGUUAGUGUUUGAAGAGUGAAGAGUGAUUUUCAUUUUAAAAAAGUUAACUGCUUUCUUCUUAUAGUAAAUAAGUAUAAGAUGCUUGUGGGAAGAAUGUGUAAAAUAGGGCUAGAUAGAUGAUAAAAUGUCUGUUUUUAUUUAAAGUCCAAGAAAAGAAUCCAAAUGAAAAGCAAAGCAGUGUUUUGGGGUUAAGACAUUUCUACUGUGAGUUUACCCCACAAGGAGGUCAAACAUGAUGCAUCCUCUGAAUCAGACUUGCCAACAAACCUUUACCUCCUGAAUUUGGAGGUGCAGAGUGUGCCUACACCACUAGAUGGCACCAUUGCCCACCGCACACUUCAAAUCCCCGGCCCAUUUUUGCCUCCAAUGGCUCAAAGAAAAACCCCCGUUUAUACCCCACCCCCGGUGUCUUGUAUUCAGUGUUAAAGAUCACAGAUGCCUCUUUGCCUUGGAGUUAUGUGCUGCCUAUCAGAGGCCGUUAGCAGAGCUCAGGACCCUCUGCAGCCUCCUCCAGAGCUUGGAAGGUGGCUGGAGACUGGACCCCAGUUUAUACUAUGUGUAGAAAGUCAUGCAUGCUGACGAUCACCUGGAAUCUCAAAAAGAGGAUCUGAUUCAAGAGAGAAUGUGGAAGAUUGUUCUGGAGAGAAGGAGGGCAGGCGCCUGGUGCCAGAUUUGGGAGAAGUGGGAGCCAUGCAAGGGAGCAUCAGUAGAGGGAGAGAACAGCCUCUGGAUCCAGGCCCGGGAUGGGCUAGCCAGAGGCAGCUGUGUCCUCUGGUGCCAGCAGCCCAUGGAGACAGGUAGUACUACCCCAUGCUUCAGACAACAUGCUCACUACAGCUUCUAAAGUAAAGAGUUGAUGGAGUUCCCUUGUAGCUCAGCAGAUUAAGGAUCCAGCAUUGUCACUGGUGGGGCUUGGGUCACUGCUCUGGCAGGAGUCCAGUCCCCGGCUCAGGAACUUCUGCAUGCUCUGGGAAAAAAAAAAGAAAGAAGAAAAAGUGAGGCCUGACCCUCAACCUAAUCAUGCACACUGUGCCUUAUCCCUGUGGCAUUUGUUUUUUCCAGAAAUCCCACUCCUGGGUAUGUAUCCAGACAAAACAUUCAUUCAAAAAAAUACCUCUAUGUUCACACAGCACUAUGCACAAUAGCCAAGAAGUGGAAACAACCUAAAUGUCCAUCGAUAGAUGAUUGGAUUAAAAAAAUAUACUAUGGAGAACAGUUUGGAGAUACCUUAGAAAUCUAUACAUAGAACUUCCAUAUGACCCUGCAAUCCCACUCUUGGGCAUCUAUCCGGACAAAACUCUACUUAAAAGAGACACAUGCACCCGCAUGUUCAUUGCAGCACUAUUCACAAUAGCCAAGACAUGGAAACAACCCAAAUGUCCAUCGGCAGAUGAUUGGGUUAGGAAGAUGUGGUAUGUAUACACAAUGGAAUACUACUCAGCCAUAAAAAAGAAUGACAUAAUGCCAUUUGCAGCAACAUGGAUGGAACUAGAGAAUCUCAUACUGAGUGAAAUGAGCCAGAAAGACAAAGACAAAUACCAUAUGAUAUCACUUAUAACUGGAAUCUAAUAUCCAGCACAAAUGAACAUCUCCUCAGAAAAGAAAAUCAUGCACUUGGAGAAAAGACUUGUGGCUGCCUGAUGGUAGGGGGAGGGAGUGGGAGGGAUCGGGAGCUUGGACUUAUCAGACACAACUUAGAAUAGAUAUACAAGGAGAUCCUACUAAAUAGCAUUGAGAACUUUGUCUAGAUACUCAUGUUGCAACAGAACAAAGGGUGGGGGGGAGAAAUGUAAUUGUAAUGUAUAUAUGUAAGGAUAACCUGACCCCCUUGCUAUACAGUGGGAAAAAAAAAAUUUAAAAAUAAAUAAAUUUUUAAAAAUAUGAUACAUUUACACAAUGGACUACUAUUCAGCCAUAAAAAAAACAACGAAACAGUGCCAUUUGCAGCAACAUGGAUGGAACUAGAGAAUCUCUUACUAAGUGAAGUCAGAAAGAGAAAGACAAACAUCAUAUGAUAUCACUUAUAUGGAGAAUCUAAAAUAUGGCACAAAUGAACCUAUUUACAAAGCAAAAACAGAUCACAGACACAAAGGGCAGACUUGCAGUUGCCAGGAGGAGGGAGUGGGAUGGACGGGGAGUUUGGGAUUAGUGGAUGCAAACUUAACAUUUGGAAUGGAUGGGCAAUGGGAUCCCACUGCACAGCACAGGGAACUAUGUGUGCUUGGGUCACUUUGCUAUACAACAGAAAUUGAAAAAACAUUGUAUAUCAAUGAUACUUUAAUUAAAACAUUAAACUAAAAAUUAAAAAAAUAAAAAUAAAGUAGGGAUGCACAAGACCCAGAAUAAAUGAGGUUCCAGGCCCUGAGCCGCAGAAGGGCAGGAGCGAGCCCCUGGGAAGAGAUAUUACCCCGAGUGGGGGAGUGAGGGGCAGAUACCACCCACCCUCCUUCUCAGCCACAAUGUGGGCAGGAGGCUACACCCCAGCUACUUCCCAAAGUGGGUGCACUGUUAUGAAAUGUUCACCACUCUUCAGGCAAACGUUAUCAUCAGUAGCUUUUAAAAGCACCUCAGAAACUGCUCAAACUUAUGAAGCACUGUCCUGGCUCCUGAAGCCAGUGGGUUUGUAAUAGGGAAGAAAAAAAUCUGACUCCAUUUUGGAUCUGUGUCUUUUUCUUUAACCUUUGCCUUCUGUUGCUUUUGCUGCAAGUUAAUCUCUAAAGGAAUGUUUCCUAUGAGUUUAAAGUGUACAUACUGGCCCACCUCUGGGAACCCUGUCUUCCAUGCCUGAGUGUUUAGCUAAAAUACCUUUGUUUGAGCUCAUGGGAAGCAGCUUCACCAGGCCCACCUGUCAAUGGCUGCAGGAAAAAAGAAAUUAAUGCGUCUCCUUAGGAGGAGUCUGGCCUGAACUAGGAAAUAUUUGCCUCCAUGAAUUACCUUUUUAACCCUCACCUUCUCCUCUUUGUUCUAUAAGAGAAACUAGCCUCCAAACCCAGGCACGAUGGUUCUUUGGGACAUGAGUCCACCAUCUUCUCAGUCUGCUUUCUGAAUAAAGUCGCUAUUUGUUGCCCCAACAACUCCAUCUACUGGCCUGUCCAGCAAUGAGCAGCAUAAGCUUAGGCUCAGGCUUAGUCAUUCUUGAGAGGCUUUUUCCAACGGCUCAGGACUGAAGGGGAAGGAAGAGGUGCCAGUGAGGCUGGGAGCCCCUCUGUGUCCAUCCUGGGACCCACGAGAGGACAGGAGAGAGCCCAUCAGGCACUGGCCAGGGGGAGCGGAAGGCACAUCAACUUUCCCAGUGCCAUGCGAGGCUAACAUUUGGGAAUGAGACAUCCAGGACAUCACAUAGGUGACAAGCCCACCCUAGGCGAGGACAAUAGCCCUUUUAGGAAACAAGAGGAGGGUUCUUUGAGGGAUUUAAACACAUUCCCCCUCAGGGGCGCCUUCUGGGUGUGGCAGCCCUUGAAGGAAAAAAGCCAACCACAUCCUUCACUGAAAUUUACGGAUUUCAGGCACUCGCUCCCCACCUUCCCAAUCCCGACCGCAGGCCUGUGCUCUGAAGACCAAAGAGGCCACUGACUGUUAUUUUAAGAGCUAAAAUUUCCCAGAACCCUGGAAUGCUCUGAGAACUCUCAAAGAAAGCUAUUUUUGUUCUCUGACAAUUUGGCCAAUAUUUAACCUUCUCCCUGAAUCAUCCAAUUUCUUUCCUAUGAAAGUACUCCCCAGGUUCCAAAGAGAAAGCUGCAUUCAUGAUGUAAAUGUUUUGAGUUACACAUGGGUUAACACUGGCCGGGGUACUGGAGCCCCUGACUGUUGGGGGGUCACACACUUCCACAGAAGCAGGUUCGGGGUAAGAUCUCCUUUGAUUGGGCUCUUUGUUCUACUCCUGGAUUCACUGAGGUCUGCCACUGGUGUGGAAAUGGUGUCUUCCUACCUCAGGUCACUGCCACCUUUAUAUAGAAAGACAAGAGAAAAUGUGUUUCCCUACACCUGAAGCUAACACAACAUUGUAAACCAACUCUAUCCAAUAAAAUCCAAUUUUUUAAAAAAGAGGGAGUUCGCAUUAUGGCUCAGUGGGUUAAAUACCUGACAUAGUGUCCGUGAGGAUGCGGGGUUUAAUCCCUGGCCUCGCUUAGUGGGUUAAGGAUCUGGUGUGGCCACAAGCUGCGGCAAAGAUGGGCCUUGGAUCCGGCAUUGCUGUCACUGUGGCAUAGGCCUCAGCUGCAGCUCCAAUUCGACUUCUGGACCAGGAACUUCCAUAUGCAGCAGGUGUGGCUGUAAAAAGUGAAGAAAAAGAGGAGUUCCCUCAUGGCUCAGUGAGUUAAUGGUCUGACAUUGUUGCUUCUGUGGAUCCAGUAGCUGCUGUGGUGCAGGUUUGAUCCCUGAUCCAAGAACCUCCACAUGCCAUGGGCAUGGCCAAAAAGAAAAGAAAAGAAAAAAAAAAUGUGUGUUUCCUUUAUAGAGCAGGAUGAUUGAAUACUUUCCCUAUUGCUAAUUCAAAUUCACUUAACUGUGGGAAGUUUUUAAUGUGUGAGAUUAACCAUAACCAUUCAAACCACCCUCUUUUCUUCCUAUUUAGUUUUAGAAUUUGAGCAUCAGGGUUGUGAGUUCCCCCGCUGGCAGCUGGCCUGUGUUCUUCCUGCCAUCCGUCCCCACAUGGUAGACUCAACUGUGCAGAGGGGCUGACUGGCAAGGAAGCUCAGGCCCAGAUGGGGUCCAAGUACCUAAGGCUAUGUUAACUGUAAGACUGAAUGCCCACCAGUGGUUUGGGAGAACAGUGGGAUAAGUGCUCUGAGAGGGGUCACUAGCCGCUGGGCAAUCCCACAGUCACCAGUGUGUAUUGAAGGCUCCUUGUUGACCCAAGGAAGCAUUUUACCUUGAUUCUUCCUGCAGUUUUUCACCCUUGGCAAGGUCAACACGAGGCUGGGUAAUUCCUUGCUGCAGGGACCAUCCUGGGCCUUGGAGGAGGUUUAGGGUAAACCUGGCCCUCCUCACUAGAAGCCCUUCCCAAGUCAGGAUACUGAGACUGCCUCUGCGCACCAGCAAAUGUUCUCUGGGGGGGGAGUCAAGCCAUCAAUCACUCAGUGGAGAACCACAGGAAAGGGUUGGCAGGAAAGUGGGUCAGAGCUAUACCAUGAACUGGGAGGGACAUUCCCCAAGGUCCUUAGACAUGACAGCACAGGCUUGGACACCCUGCAGGGGACAAAGGGGAAAUGUGUCCAAGAAAGAGAAGGCUGAUCGUGCUGCAGGAUGGGAGGGACAGAGGCAUAGAGACAAGAGGGACAAGGUGAGGCAUCUGUGUGCUCAUAGAUGACCCACCCAUGCUGCAU